rnacentral:lncRNA from 1 species
CAAGUGGAAAGCUUCUGCAUAACAAAUGACCCUCGGUGCUGCUCUUGGAGACUUAGUCACAGAAUGCAGAGCCAUGGGUACCUGUUCACGUGGCAUCUCCAUGUUUGCAUCUGACAUGGAUAUUCAAGACCUGCCUGGACUCUAUCCUCCUCAACCUACUGUGGAGAAGAGCUGCCAUGCUGUGAUGAUCAUUGGCCAGUUGCACUCCCCUGGACACAUCUCACCAGGAUAUGCACUGAGUUAGGACCCCGUCAUCCUCUCACUGGACCUGCGUUGAACAGAGCUGGGCCCAUCUCGCAUACUUUCCGCUAGCAGCUCGAAGGAUUUAGGGCUGGAGGUGGACUAAUAGCAACAUUUUAAUGAGAAGAAAGAUGCAAAAGGACAUCUUCAUUUCACACGAAGGACUAGGCAUCUGCCUGGAAGUUUAGGGUCGCAGAGAGAGGCUGAAGCAGAGAAGGGGAAAGAAACGCACCUGUCUGAAUUGCCAGCCUACAGACCCAGGCUCCCUCUGCAAUCACUGCCACAGAAAGGAAAGAUUGAAUGAAUGGAAAAGUUGUGAGAAGACAUGGAAGAAGCAAUGUUGUUGAUGGAGCACCGAUCCAUCCUGGAGCAGGGAGUCAGCAACAGCCCUCUGAACCCAGACCCUUUUGACUGCUUGACUUUCCUGUAACUGGUUGAGCUAAGUUCACCUGACCUGCUGUCUGGACUCAGCAACUGGAGGACGCUGUAUGCUGACACGACUACAUGGCUUUGGAUCAACUCAAGGGCUCCUUUGAAUUGUUACUCGCAUUGAGGUGAGGCCUGCUGAGUCACAGCCUGAGCCACUGAUUGAGCACCGGGGGAACAGACCUGGUCAGCACUGUGAGCACAGGUGAAGGCAAUUCAGCUGUGUGACCAGAUGGGGUGGAGCCUGGCUGCACCUCUCUUAGACCCCAUUUAAGGGCUGAGUGCCACUGAAGGAAGGUUCUGUGGCUGGAGAUCUCUCCUUUGUGUGGAGUCUUUCCUGCAAGCCUAGGUCUUCAGAGGGAACUCACGUUUGUCAUUGGCUCCAUCGUGGAGACAGAGGAUGGCAAGCUGGAGAUGGCUCACCAUCCACCAGGGCCAAGAAUUUCAGGUUUCUUCCAUUUGGCAAUGACUUGGUUGUGGCCAAAUCCAAACAGUGAAGGUAACACGAAGCCAGGAAAAAG